AUCGGUGUAGUCUAAUGGUUAGUACGGUUCGUUGCGGAAAUACAACUUCCCAUGCGACCCAUGUUCGAUUCAUGGUACUGACG